GCGCCAGCCUCGCCUUCCUUUCUCCCGCUGCAGCCGGCUCCGCACAGAGGCGACCCGGCGGGCCAGGGAAUCAGCCGCACCACCAUGACCGAGACCACCAAGACCCACGUCAUCCUGCUGGCCUGCGGCAGCUUCAACCCCAUCACCAAAGGGCACAUUCAGAUGUUCGAGAGAGCCAGGGACUACCUGCACAAAACUGGAAGGUUUAUCGUGAUUGGUGGCAUCGUGUCUCCAGUUCAUGACUCCUAUGGAAAGCAGGGUCUCGUGUCCAGCAGGCAUCGACUCAUCAUGUGUCAGCUGGCCGUCCAGAAUUCCGACUGGAUCAGGGUGGACCCAUGGGAGUGCUACCAGGACACCUGGCAGACGACCUGUAGCGUGCUAGAACACCACCGGGACCUCAUGAAACGGGUGACAGGCUGCAUCCUCUCCAACGUCAACACACCUUCCAUGACACCAGUGAUUGGACAGCCCCAGAAUGAAACCCCCCAACCCAUCUACCAGAACAACAACAACGUGCCCACCACCAAGCCCACAGCAGCCAAGAUACUGGGGAAGGUGGGGGAGAGUCUCAGCCGGAUCUGCUGUGUGCGCCCGCCCGUGGAGCGAUUCACCUUCGUGGAUGAGAAUGCCAACCUGGGCACAGUGAUGCGAUACGAGGAGAUCGAACUUCGGAUCCUGCUGCUGUGUGGCAGUGACCUGCUAGAGUCCUUCUGCAUCCCAGGGCUCUGGAAUGAGGCAGAUAUGGAAGUGAUUGUAGGGGACUUCGGGAUCGUGGUGGUGCCCCGGGACGCGGCUGACACAGACCGAAUCAUGAACCAUUCCUCAAUACUCCGCAAAUACAAAAACAACAUCAUGGUGGUGAAGGAUGACAUCAACCAUCCCAUGUCUGUGGUCAGCUCAACCAAGAGCAGGACAAGCCUGGAUGCCUCUGAGAGUCGAUUCUGGAGGAGCAUGUGAAUUUUUGCCAGUAACUCCUUGGACCUGACUCCCCUGAGGCUGUGAUCUGACUCCCAGGCCAGGGCCAGAUCAAAGCUGCAGAAACCAAAGCUGGCCCUGCAGCAUGGGGAUGGCCACGUGGUGGACUACCUGUCACAGCCUGUCAUCGACUACAUCCUCAAAAGUCAGCUCUACAUCAACGCGUCAGGCUAACUGCCAUACCUCCAGGCUCCACGCUCCCUUCAUCCUCCAACAACACACUGGCCCCUCCAGUCUUUGUCAGCGCCCUCGUUUCUCUCCUGCCUCGCUGUCUCUCCACUUCAUCAUCUCAACUGUUCUCCCUCUCUUCUCACUGACUCGAAACCCCCCUGGGUGUGGGGGGUACCUGCAGAGAACCAUGGCACACCCCCUCUUCUGCAAUUGUCUCUGAACAAAUUUUCCUCUACGGCUCCGGGUCAAGGGGUGGGUGAGCGUCAGGGUGGCAGUCGGAGGAAGUGCAGUCCUUGGAGCUGUGCCGGUGUCCAUCUCCCAGCAUGCUCUAGAGAGCAGCUCUGGUGCCCAUCCUCCCAGCAUGCUCUGGGGAGGCUGCUCUGGCUCUCGCCUUCCCAGCAUGCCCUUUACCACAAAGGGCUACUUUUCUUUGUUUCUUGUUAUCUCUCUCUCUCCUUCUCUCUCUCUCUUUCUCUCUCUCCAUUUUUAAUUAUUUUUAGUCUUUGGUAAUGAUGUUCACUCAUAGUAUAUGGAUGAUAUCAGUGUCCAUAGUUUUUGGUGUGUGUAGUCUUGCCGAUGUGUGUGAUGUUACUUCCCUUGGAUGGGCAACUGGAGCCAGUCUCAACCCUCCUGGGUGGGGGCCACCCUCAGGAAAGAAGGCCGAGCCUGCUCCACACUGCCCAAAGCAGCAGCAGUCUAGGGUCAAGAGUGGGACUGAAAUUCUGAAACCUUGGAAGCAAGGGGCUUCUUAGAAGAAUGUGAGUCCAUUUUUUUUUUUUUUUUUUUAGUCUCAGAAGAAUGCCCUGGACAGGUAAGAAAACAGAUGAUCCAGUCACAUUUCCUGGAGGCAUCUGCAUUUACUGGACUGUAGCUAAUGGUGGGGGGACAGAGCAGGGUUCUCUACGCUGUUGAGUCUCACCUGAGGAUAAUCACAUACUCAAGGCCAAAUAUGAAUCAUGCAGUUAUUUCUUAAAUAAAACACACCAAGAAUUCACUCAGUCCUUGAGAUCUUGCUCACUGGAACCACUGGUUGCUCUUUGGCCAGGCAGGUAUCUGUCAUGAUCUAGUCGGCUGACGCGGGAGGAAGCAGUGUGGUAGUCUGGUGGGAAGAGCUGACUCUCAGCCCCUCUGGCCAAGUAGCACAGGCAGUGUCUGAUGUCACUUCCUUCUUGGGGAGCAGUGUGUGGCCUUGUGUUUGGGCCUGGUCACCUCUUCUGCUAAAAGCCCUCGCCUGCAGAAAGUUGUCCAGCAGGACAGUCACAGAACAGAGAUCUUGUGGUGGGGUGCCUAGAGCAACUCCUCUCUCCUCCCUUUCCUGCCUAAAUUCUCACUUGUCUUUGCUGCCUCCAAUGGUUUUGCUGGGCUCUGUUCCCUGGUGGAGGCUGUGCCUUGCCAGGAGCUAGGAGGGCAUUAAUCCUUCUCUCGUGCACCAUGUUUCUCAUCUGCAUGCAGUUCUCGGGUUUCUGGUUGUCUCAGGAAUGGUCCCCCAGCAGCAGGGUACUUUUACCAAAAUCUGGUGCAAGCUGUGGCCCAGGAGGGGCCAGCCAUGAGGUCUGGCCCAAACAGUCACAUUCUUCAACUCACACUUUACAUCUGUGGCUUUGUUCACUAACCUCCCAGAAAAGGAACUUACUCAACAGAAAAGUGAGGAAGAAAGGUAGUGAGUGUGCAGGGGGUGGAGGGGCAUCCUUUAUCUUGGAUUACGGAAGUGAUCUCCAGAGGAGGGAAGGAAGAUCCUAUUUGGGCGUGCUCAGUGCUUAACUAAGGAUCACAGGAUCAUCUAUUGAAUUGGUCCAACCAGCAAAAUACCUACCUGGAUAGUGCAUUGGAUUACCAUGUGCAGGACCCAGGCUCAAACCUGGCCCCCACAGCACUAAAGGAAGUUUUGGUGCCAUAAUAUCUCCCCCCCCCCCCCGUCUCUCUGCCUCUUUAUCUUAUUCUUUCUGUCUGGAAAAUUCAGCCCAGUGUGGUAAAGCCCUAGAGAUGGAGAGAGAUUAGUUAAUCCACUGUUCUCCUUUAAAGGAGGAGAGUGCAGAAAUUCACGGGAUUAAAUAAGUAAGUGGCAGGUCCAAGGUCACACCACAAGUUUAGAGGCUAGACAGAGGGUGCUGAUUCUCUGAUUCUCUGUAGGUGUCCACCCCACCUGGUCCUUCCUCCAGUUCCCCAAGAUGAUUUGGGGCUUCUACUCUUUUUUAUUUCUACCUGACAUCUUUCUUUUAAAUGAAGCCCCACACAUGGUUAUCUUGUGUGCUGGUUCUGUAUAGGGGGAAAGAGGGGAGGGAAGGGGGCUAGAGCUAGGUUUCCCUUGAAAACUAAGAGAUCUCAGCAGUUUGCAGGAACCCCCCAGAAAGUGACCCUCUGAAUCCGAGAAAGAGUUGCUUUGUGGAAGAAGCAAGACCCAGAGGGUGCUCCAGAUGACAUUAUUGCUGGAGAGGGCCAGACAGACAGAGGAGCCUUUGUCUGGCUGAGCUAUGCAGUCACAAGCCAGGAACUGAACAAAGGAAAAUGGGACUUCCUGGGGGAAGACAGUGUUUCCAAGGAUGUGAAGUUUACAGCUAGAGAGUUUGAGGAUUUACACAAGCAGAGCUAAGGAAGGCCAGUUAUCUUCUGUCUCUGGUCCACUCUUACUCAGCUGGACAGGAGUGGGAGUUGGGCCGGCCUGGUGCAGGGGGCGAGAGAUGGGGGAGAGGGAGAAGAGCGAGGGAGAAAAAGGGUGAUGGAAAAGGCAGAUUUCUAGGAGAGAAAUGAGACAGAUCUGCUCUUGGUAAAUCCCAGGGCUUGUGUGAGGAAAGCCAUCCUUUCACAGAGGGAGAGCGGAUCCCUUCUGAGCUGGAAGUGCCCCUUCUGCACCCUGCCCCACUCUUCACUCUGCUGACUGGGGAGGUCAGAGCCCCUUGCAUUCCAGGGCAGCACAGUGUGGCUGUGACGCAGGCAAGGCCAGCACCCAUAGAUGAUUCAGAACUUGAAGUGGCCUCAGGUGCCAGCCGAUGACAGCUAGGUCCAGACUUCCCCUCCUUUUCACAAAGGCCAGCUGGAGGCUGGUGCAGUUCAGAGUGUGAGUAAGGCCUGUCCUGAGCCUCACUGCCUGACUUCCCUCCUGUGCUUCUGGAAGUGACUGAGAUGAAUGAGAACAGGCAGGUGGGGGAGCUUUUGCGUCAGUGACUCUCUCCUAAGGUAUAGCCCUUUAGGGAGAGUCUAUGCUGCUAGUGGGUUCCUCCUUUGCCACCCCACCCCAACCCUAGACAGCCUCUGGGGCCUUUUGGCUUUCAUUUUCCUUGAAUGUACAUAGAAACAGGGGAGAACAGACUCUUACUGAAGUGCCUGAAACCCAGAGCUAGAGCUUCUAGAGACGCCAUUCCUGUCUCAGUUUGGCCAAGCUUCCCCCAACACUUACACUCCAGCUUCUGGGAAAGAACAAAGGAGCUUGAUGUUCUAGUGAAAUACAAAGUGAGAUUCGAUCAUCAACCUAUAGCAGAAUGGCAGAGAAUUACAGGGAGAAACGACUUGUAUUUUAACAGCUCAACAGUACUUUCCCCAAAAGACACACACACACACACACACACACACACACACACACACACGCUUUAGGGGACAUGUUGAUAUAUUUUAUUCAAGAGAGUCAUGCAAACAACAAUCAGCAGACUCUGAAAAAGCUCAGAAUCUCUCCUAAGGCUACCGCAGGAAGGAUGACGAGUGAGACGGAAGGAUGGAAACGGGCCCACUCUGUAGCUCAUCCACUAGGACGCCUGAAGACUAGACUGAUGAUGAAGCGGUUGUAUCAGACUUACGCAGUUAGCACCCAGUGAACUCAGCUCUUCACCUGGUUUCUUCGAUGUGCAAGCUGGAGUGUCCUAUUGGUUGGUCUGAUUAGUUAGAAAUGAGUUCCACUUUCCUCCUUUUUAGUUCAGGACCUAGAACCCAGCUUGAUCCCAGCAGUCUCAAGGACUGGCAUGGGGAGGGGGAAGCUUUUCUUUUCUUUUUUAAAUUUAAUCACUUUUUACUUACUGAAUCUGCUAUUUGGAGUGUAAGAUUUGCUUUCUGGAAAUCAUUAAUAGGAACUACAUUCAAGUUGCAACACCAUUUCACAGUGAAAUAUUUUGAGUACAGUUUUGUUGCUAGACUAGUCACUGGCUGAAAGUUUUAUCAGCAAAAUGUUUCAAUUAUGUUAAUAAAUAAAACAAUGCUACUAGA